rnacentral:rRNA from 1 species
UACGUAGGGUGCAAGCGUUGUCCGGAAUUAUUGGGCGUAAAGAGCUCGUAGGCGGUUCGUCGCGUCGGCUGUGAAAUCCCGAGGCUCAACCUCGGGUCUGCAGUCGAUACGGGCGGACUGGAGUUCGGCAGGGGAGACUGGAAUUCCUGGUGUAGCGGUGAAAUGCGCAGAUAUCAGGAGGAACACCGGUGGCGAAGGCGGGUCUCUGGGCCGAUACUGACACUGAGGAGCGAAAGCGUGGGGAGCGAACAGG